rnacentral:rRNA from 1 species
GAUGAACGCUGGCGGCGUGCCUAAUACAUGCAAGUCGAGCGAACAGACGAGGAGCUUGCUCCUCUGACGUUAGCGGCGGACGGGUGAGUAACACGUGGAUAACCUACCUAUAAGACUGGGAUAACUUCGGGAAACCGGAGCUAAUACCGGAUAAUAUAUUGAACCGCAUGGUUCAAUAGUGAAAGACGGUUUUGCUGUCACUUAUAGAUGGAUCCGCGCCGCAUUAGCUAGUUGGUAAGGUAACGGCUUACCAAGGCAACGAUGCGUAGACGACCUGAGAGGGUGAUCGGCCACCCUGUAACUGAGACACGGUCCAGACUCCUACGGGAGGCAGCAGUAGGGAAUCUUCCGCAAUGGGCGAAAGCCUGACGGAGCAACGCCGCGUGAGUGAUGAAGGUCUUCGGAUCGUAAAACUCUGUUAUUAGGGAAGAACAAAUGUGUAAGUAACUAUGCACGUCUUGACGGUACCUAAUCAGAAAGCCACGGCUAACUACGUG